ensembl:lncRNA
CUCCAAAGAACAGGAAUAAGCCUGGCUGCUUCCCUUUACACAGAAGAAGUGUACCAGAUAUAUCAUGUAUGACUGGAUGGCCAAGUGGUUUGCAGCAGCAAAAGCUCCAGAUGCACAGAGGGAUGAUACCCCCAAGCUGACUUCUGUGAGGCUUGGUGGUCCGCCAGGUUGCAGGGCUCCUGCCUGGCCCAUGGAAACCUGAAAGCCCCACCGGAAAAGAUCUACAUGAAACUCCUGGUAGUCUCAAGACUCUCUGCCUGGACCUUCAGCUGAUGUAGGAUCUCUGGUCAACUACUUAGGUUGACCAAGUUUUCCUGUCGUGUCCAGUACCUCUACCAUGAAGGGAGAUGGAAUAAACAGAGAUAAACCUUCAGGAGCUGUCCCUCCAGGACGUACUCAGCAGGAGAGUGUCCUGAGAAGAGAGUAGAGAA